rnacentral:rRNA from 1 species
UACAGGGGGGGCAAGCGUUGUUCGAAAUUACUGGGCGUAAAGGGCUCGUAGGCGGCCAACUAAGUCAUACGUGAAAUCCCUCAGCUUAACUGGGGAACUGCGUCUGAUACUGGAUGGCUUGAGUUUGGGAGAGGGAUGCGGAAUUCCAGGUGUAGCGGUGAAAUGCGUAGAUAUCUGGAGGAACACCGGUGGCGAAGGCGGCAUCCUGGACCAACACUGACACUGAGGAGCGAAAGCCAGGGGAGCAAACGGG